UUAUGUUAAAAAAAUGAUAAAAAUUUACUAAAUGAUAAUAAAUUACUACACGAUAUUGUAUGUAAAAUCUACUUUAACUGUUUCUGUUAUAAUAGAUUGAUGCUUCUAUUAUCCAUUGUCGUCCAUCGAUGAAACUUAAAACUAAUUUAAUCUAUAAUAUUCGAAAUUAAAACGCAUGUAUUCCAUGGUGACCCUGUGAUAUCCUACGAUGUUCCAUGGUGUUCUCCCUAAGUGUUCUGCCUAAUAGUUUAUUUAUUUUUUAGAAGCAGUUCAGUUUAAAUAACCAAAAGACUGCGAAGAGAAUUUUGUAUAGUCAUUUUUAUAAAAAUUUUAUUUAAUGAACGAAAAGAACUAGGGGAGGAAAGUUUUUAUUUCUUCUUUCAAUUUAUGCAAGAUACGAAAUGCGCGCGCAAUAUUUUUAAUUUUAGUAAAGAUGGCAGCGCCAAUGAAAUUCCGUAAUUACGUAUCGCGAUUUUCAAAUAUAAUCGAUGUUUCUUGCAAUCGAUCUAAUCGAUCUAAUAUUGAGAUGUAACGUAAAACCGUUAGUUUUAGGUGAGAACGUGACAAAAAAGAUAGCAUGAAGCUGUUUAUUCAGAGAUUGUCAAGUAAAGACUAACGGCAUUUUCCAUCGGAUUUAAUGGUUUCUACUUGUUAGUGAUAUUUGCAAUUAUUUCAUCUGGGCCACAAUUACGUAUUAUAUGUCGUUCUUUUCAUCUAAGUGUUAUAUCAGAGAUAGCAUGGACGCCACGAUUAAGAAUGGACAAUUUGAUGAACUUUUAUGGAAAUUUGGUAACAUUUUAUUCAUUCUGGGUAUCAUAUGGU